rnacentral:rRNA from 1 species
AAAGAUGGACUUUCAAAAAAAUUCUUUUUUAAAAUUAAAAAUUGAAGUUAUUUUUAUUUGUGAAGAAACAAUAAUAAAAAUUAGGGACAAGAAGACCCUAUGAAUUUUAAUUUUCUUAUAUUUUUAAUUAAUAAUAUAAGAAAAUUUAAUUGGGGCGAUUAAAAAAAAUUAAAAUCUUUUUUUACUAAAAAAAUGAUCCAUUAAUAAUGAUUUAAUGCAAAAAAUACUCUAGGGAUAACAGCGUAAUAAUUUUAGAUAGAUCGUAUAGAAAAAAUAGUUUGCGACCUCGAUGUUGGAUUAGGAUUCUUAUUUAAUGAAGAAGUUAAAAGAAGAAGUUUGUUCAACUUUUAAAUUCCUACAUGAUCUGAGUUCCAGACCGGA